rnacentral:rRNA from 1 species
UACGGGGGGGGCAAGCGUUGUUCGGAAUUACUGGGCGUAAAGGGCUCGUAGGCGGCCAACUAAGUCGGACGUGAAAUCCCCAGGCUCAACCUGGGAACUGCGUCCGAUACUGGAUGGCUUGAAUUCGGGAGAGGGAUGCAGAGUUCCAGGUGUAGCGGUGAAAUGCGUAGAUAUCUGGAGGAAUACCGGUGGCGAAGGCGGCAUCCUGGACCGACAUUGACGCUGAUGAGCGAAAGCUAGGGGAGCAAACGGG